AGCAUGUGGCUUAAUUCGACGCAACGCGAAGAACCUUACCAAGGCUUGAAAUGCAAGUGAAGCGGUGGAAACGCCGUGGCCGAAAGGAGCUUGCACAGGUGGUGCAUGGCUGUCGUCAGCUCGUGUCGUGAGAUGUUGGGUUAAGUCCCGCAACGAGCGCAACCCUUGCCAUUAGUUGUCAGCGAGUCAUGUCGGAUACUCUAAUGGGACUGCCGGUGAUGAGCCGGAGGAAGGUGGGGAUGACGUCAAGUCAGCAUGGCCUUUAUGUCCAGGGCCACACACGUGCUACAAUGGACGGUACAGAGGGACGCAAGACCGCAAGGUGGAGCAAAUCCUCAAAACCGUUCUCAGUUCGGAUUGUAGGCUGCAAUUCGCCUACAUGAAGCUGGAAUUGCUAGUAAUCGCAGAUCAGCACGCCGCGGUGAAUACGUUCCCGGGCCUU
rnacentral:rRNA from 1 species